CGAGUGGCGAACGGGUGAGUAACGCGUGAGGAACCUGCCUCAAANAGGGGACAACAGUUGGAAACGACUGCUAAUACCGCAUAAGCCCACGGGUCGGCAUCGACCAGAGGGAAAAGGAGCAAUCCGCUUUGAGAUGGCCUCGCGUCCGAUUAGCUAGUUGGUGAGGUAAUGGCCCACCAAGGCAACGAUCGGUAGCCGGACUGAGAGGUUGAACGGCCACAUUGGGACUGAGACACGGCCCAGACUCCUACGGGAGGCAGCAUG
rnacentral:rRNA from 1 species